CACCGCCAAGACGUUUCCGCAGGUCAGAGGGGGUGGACCUAUCGGAUUUCGCCUCACGGCGAGGUUCGUGUAA
rnacentral:tRNA from 1 species